GGCUGGUCUGAAGGUAGUGAGUUAUUCCACUUGAUUGUUCGCAGUCACAGAUUGAAUUCCCUGUUCUACUACUUUCCCCCUUCUCACUACCGCACUUGACUUGCCUUAA
rnacentral:Y_RNA from 1 species